ACACGUGGGUAACCUGCCUUAUAGUGGGGGAUAGCCUUUCGAAAGGAAGAUUAAUACCGCAUAAGAUUGUAGUAUCGCAUGAUAUAGCAAUUAAAGGAGCAAUUCGCUAUAAGAUGGACCCGCGUCGCAUUAGCUAGUUGGUGAGGUAAUGGCUCACCAAGGCGACGAUGCGUAGCCGACCCGAGAGGGUGAUCGGCCACAUUGGGACUGAGACACGGCCCAGACUCCUACGGGAGGCAGCAUG
rnacentral:rRNA from 1 species